rnacentral:rRNA from 1 species
AUGUCUUGCUUCAGAUUACCUCGAGGCCUUUGUGGAAGCAUUACGUCACUCAUUCGUCAGUUUUGGUGGGGGAGCAAGAGAGGCAAGAGGAAACCAUGUUGGGUAGCUUGGGAUUUGAUGACCCGACCGAAAAGUUUGGGAGGACUUGGCUUUCGGGAUAUAGAAAUCUUCAACUUGGCACUUUUGUCUCGGCAAAUUUGGAGAUUAUUGAAUGAUCCCUCCUCUCUUAGUGCACAAAUCCUUAAAGCAUCAUAUUUUCCACAAUGUACAGUCCUUGAAGCUCAACUAGGUCCACAUCCUUCUCAGGUGUGGCGAUCUAUACUUGAUGGGAGAGAUAUUAUCACCCAAGGAGCUAUCCGGCGUAUUGGUGAUGGAACUACCACGAACAUAUGGCAACAUAGUUGGAUCCCA